rnacentral:rRNA from 1 species
UACAGGGGGUGCAAACGUUGCUCGGAAUCAUUGGGCGUAAAGCGCACGUAGGCGGACUCUUAAGUCAGGGGUGAAAUCCUGGAGCUCAACUCCAGAACUGCCUUUGAUACUGGGAGUCUUGAGUCCGGAAGAGGUAAGUGGAACUGCGAGUGUAGAGGUGAAAUUCGUAGAUAUUCGCAAGAACACCAGUGGCGAAGGCGGCUUACUGGUCCGGUACUGACGCUGAGGUGCGAAAGCGUGGGGAGCAAACAGG